rnacentral:rRNA from 1 species
CGCUAUUAAGGUUCGUUUGUUCAACGAUUAAAGUCCUACGUGAUCUGAGUUCAGACCGGAGUAAUCCAGGUCAGUUUCUAUCUAUAAAAAAUUUUUUCUAGUACGAAAGGACCGAAAAAAUAGAGCCCAUUACUAAACAAUGCUCUUACACAGUUGAAAACAAAUAAAACACGCACACAAAACACACCCCCAAGAACAGGGUAAA